UACGUAGGGUGCGAGCGUUGUCCGGAAUUAUUGGGCGUAAAGAGCUCGUAGGCGGUCUGUCGCGUCUGCUGUGAAAUCCCGAGGCUCAACCUCGGGCUUGCAGUGGGUACGGGCAGGCUAGAGUGCGGUAGGGGAGAAUGGAACUCCUGGUGUAGCGGUGAAAUGCGCAGAUAUCAGGAGGAACACCGAUGGCGAAGGCAGGUCUCUGGGCCGAUACUGACGCUGAGGAGCGAAAGCGUGGGGAGCGAACAGG
rnacentral:rRNA from 1 species